rnacentral:rRNA from 1 species
AGCAGCCGCGGUAAUUCCAGCUCCAAUAGCGUAUAUUAAAGUUGUUGCAGUUAAAACGCUCGUAGUUGAAUUUCGGGACCAAUUUGUUGGUCGUGCCUCGGUACGUACUGGUAUUAUUGGUUUCUACCUUCUGAAGAACCUUGAUGUCAUUAAUUUGGUGUCUUGGGGAAUCAGGACUGUUACUUUGAAAAAAUUAGAGUGUUUAAAGCAAGCAUACGCUUGAAUACAUUAGCAUGGAAUAAUGAAAUAGGACGUUUGAUUCUAUUUUGUUGGUUUCUAGGAUCGACGUAAUGAUUAAUAGGGAUAGUUGGGGGCAUUAGUAUUCAAUUGUCAGAGGUGAAAUUCUUGGAUUUAUUGAAGACUAACUACUGCGAAAGCAUUUGCCAAGGAUGUUUUCAUUAAUCAAGAACGAAAGUUAGGGGAUCGAAGACGAUCAGAUACCGUCGUAGUCUUAACCAUAAACUAUGCCGACUAGGGAUCGGAUGAUGUUAUUUUUAAUGUACUCAUUCGGCGCCUUACG